CUGAACUGUAGUCCAGAUAUACAUUUGUGAGAGGGUUGUGCUACAUACCUGUUAAGAGGCCCAGGGUUUAUCUGCGUGAUCAUAAUCUCUUCUUGGUCUGCUUUGCCCCCUUUUCCCUCCNUUUCCCUUUUCGUUCCUCAUUCUUUCUCAUGACCGUUUCCACUUGAUCUACCCAGCAGGUCAGAAAGCUGAUGUUACAUCUUAUCUAGCAGUGGGUAUAAAAGCCAGACUUUACCUUCUUCAGAUGACACUGGAAAUCAGAAAUACCAACCUUCAGGACUGCAAACUCUGUCUUUCAGGAUGUUUUGCUUCAUCCUUCUCACUUUAUUGUGCUGCAGUGUCACCUUCAGUACAGACAUUAUUUUGCCGUCUGCAUCUUCCUCAUCGGGGGAGUUUGGUGGAGGUGGAGGAGAGCAGUUCUCACACUCUGGGAAUCAAUUGGAUGGACCUAUAACUGCUUUUAGGAUUCAUUUUGGCUGGCUUUCCAUUUCAGG
rnacentral:lncRNA from 1 species